rnacentral:rRNA from 1 species
UACGUAGGGGGCAAGCGUUGUCCGGAUUUAUUGGGCGUAAAGAGCGUGUAGGCGGCCAUACAGGUCCGUUGUGAAAACUGGAGGCUUAACCUCCAGACGUCGAUGGAAACCGUAUGGCUAGAGUCCGGAAGAGGAGAGUGGAAUUCCUGGUGUAGCGGUGAAAUGCGCAGAUAUCAGGAGGAACACCAAUAGCGAAGGCAGCUCGCUGGGACGUUACUGACACUGAGGCGCGAAAGCGUGGGGAGCGAACAGG